AGGUAGGCGCCGGAUGAACGGGUAUCAUUGAUGUUGAUAAACAUAGAACAAAGUUCUUCUACUUU
rnacentral:tRNA from 1 species